rnacentral:rRNA from 1 species
CGGACGGGUGAGUAAUGUCUGGGAAACUGCCUGAUGGAGGGGGAUAACUACUGGAACCGGUAGCUAAUACCGCAUAACGUCGCAAGACCAAAGAGGGGGACCUUAGGGCCUCUUGCCAUCGGAUGUGCCCAGAUGGGAUUAGCUAGUAGGUGGGGUAACGGCUCACCUAGGCGACGAUCCCUAGCUGGUCUGAGAGGAUGACCAGCCACACUGGAACUGAGACACGGUCCAG